GCCCUUAGAGUUUGAUCCUGGCUCAGGACGAACGCUGGCGGCGCGCCUAACACAUGCAAGUCGAACGAGAGAUGAGGAGCUUGCUCUUCAAAUCGAGUGGCGAACGGGUGAGUAACGCGUGAGGAACCUGCCUCAAAGAGGGGGACAACAGUUGGAAACGACUGCUAAUACCGCAUAAGCCCACGGCUCGGCAUCGAGCUGAGGGAAAAGGAGCAAUCCGCUUUGAGAUGGCCUCGCGUCCGAUUAGCUAGUUGGUGAGGUAACGGCCCACCAAGGCGACGAUCGGUAGCCGGACUGAGAGGUUGAACGGCCACAUUGGGACUGAGACACGGCCCAGACUCCUACGGGAGGCAGCAGUGGGGAAUAUUGCACAAUGGGGGAAACCCUGAUGCAGCGACGCCGCGUGGAGGAAGAAGGUCUUCGGAUUGUAAACUCCUGUUGUUGAGGAAGAUAAUGACGGUACUCAACAAGGAAGUGACGGCUAACUACGUGCCAGCAGCCGCGGUAAAACGUAGGUCACAAGCGUUGUCCGGAAUUACUGGGUGUAAAGGGAGCGCAGGCGGGAGAGCAAGUUGGAAGUGAAAUCCAUGGGCUCAACCCAUGAACUGCUUUCAAAACUGUUUUUCUUGAGUAGUGCAGAGGUAGGCGGAAUUCCCGGUGUAGCGGUGGAAUGCGUAGAUAUCGGGAGGAACACCAGUGGCGAAGGCGGCCUACUGGGCACCAACUGACGCUGAGGCUCGAAAGUGUGGGUAGCAAACAGGAUUAGAUACCCUGGUAGUCCACACCGUAAACGAUGAUUACUAGGUGUUGGAGGAUUGACCCCUUCAGUGCCGCAGUUAACACAAUAAGUAAU
rnacentral:rRNA from 1 species